AUGGCCGCCGCCCCAUCCGCCUCCGCCUCCGCCGUCGCCGUUGCCGAGCCCAAGACCAAGUACGAUCGCCAGCUCAGGAUAUGGGGUGAUCAAGGACAGGCUGCACUGGAGAAGGCUAGCAUAUGCUUGCUUAACUGUGGCCCUACCGGAACUGAAGCGCUGAAGAACCUUGUGCUUGGAGGAAUAGGGAGUGUUACUGUUGUUGAUGAUUCCAAAGUUGAACCGUCGGACCUGGGAAACAAUUUUUUGUUGGAUGAAGGGUGCUUGGGUCAUUCAAGAGCAAAAUCUAUCUGUUCUUUCCUACAAGAGCUCAAUGAUGCUGUGAAAGCCAAAUAUGUUGAGGAGUCUGUAGCGACAAUGAUAGAUACAAAUCCUUCCUUCUUUUCCGAGUUCACUGUUGUCAUUGCUACACAGCUUCCUGAGAGUUCUUUAUUGAAAUUAGAUGGUAUCUGCGGGAGCGCCAAUAUUGUUUUAGUUGCUGCGCGUUCAUAUGGUUUAACUGGCCUUGUCAGGGUCAGCAUCAAGGAGCAUUGUGUUAUAGAAUCAAAACCAGACCACUUCUUGGAUGAUUUACGGUUGCACAAUCCCUGGACUGAACUCAAGCAAUUUGCAAAGUCAAUUGAUAUAUGCGACAAGGAUGCCGUUGUGCACAAGCAUACUCCAUACAUUGUUAUCCUCGUGAGGCUUGCAGAAAAAUGGGCAGAUGCGCAUGAUGGGCAGUUACCUUCGACCAGGCAAGAGAAAAGGGAAUUUAAGGACCUAAUUCGAGCCCAUAUGCUUAACGUAGAUGAAGACAAUUACAAAGAAGCAGUAGAAUCUUCAUACAAAGUCUCAUUAACUCCGGGAAUCAGUAAUGAAAUCCGUCAGAUAAUUGAUGAUAGCUCCUCUGAAGUCAAUUUUUCUUCUUCAGAUUUUUGGGUUUUAGUGUCUGCUUUGAAGGAAUUUAUCACAAAUGAGGGUAAUGGUGAGCUACCUCUCGAGGGAACAAUACCUGAUAUGACAUCACUUACCGAGUAUUAUGUAAGCCUACAAAAGAUUUACCAAGCUAAGGCUGAAUCAGAUUGUCUUGCCAUGGAGCAUCGUGUGAAGAGUAUUUUGAAGCGGAUUGGUAGAGAUCCUGAAUCUAUUUCGAGGGCAUAUAUCAAAACAUUUUGCAAAAACACUAGAAAACUCAAAGUCUGUAGAUACCGCAGUAUGGAGGAGGAAUUUAGCUCUCCAGCCCUAUCUGAAGUUCAAAAGUACUUCGCCGACGAAGACAGUUGCUACGCAAUGAACUUCUAUGUUCUGCUACGUGCUGUUGACCGGCUUGCUGCCAGCUAUAGCAGAUUACCUGGAAUAUUCGACAGCAUUGGGUCCACUAGUGAGAUUGUUGAGGAUGUUCCUAGGCUGAAGGCGGCUGCUGUCUCGGUGCUGAGUGACAUGGGUUUGAAGGGAGCAUCCUUGUCUGAAGACCUGGUUACUGAAGUGUGCCGUUUUGCGGGUGCAGAGAUUCACCCCGUUGCUGCCUUUAUUGGCGGAGUGGCCUCCCAGGAAGUAAUCAAGCUGGUGACCAAGCAGUUUGUGCCGCUGAAUGGAACAUUCAUAUUCAACGGAAUCGACCUCAAAUCUCAAGUCUUGGCCUUAUAA
rnacentral:rRNA from 1 species